CACGUAGUUAGCCGUGACUUUCUGGUUGGAUACCGUCACUGCGUGAACAGUUACUCUCACGCACGUUCUUCUCCAGCAACAGAGCUUUACGAGCCGAAACCCUUCUUCACUCACGCGGUGUUGCUCCAUCAGGCUUGCGCCCAUUGUGGAAGAUUCCCUACUGCUGCCUCCCGUAGGAGUAUGGACCGUGUCUCAGUUCCAUUGUGGCCGAUCAGUCUCUCAACUCGGCUAUGCAUCAUCGCCUUGGUAAGCCGUUACCUUACAACUAGCUAAUGCACCGCAGGUCCAUCCCAGAGUGAUAGCCAAAGCCAUCUUUACAAAACAAAAAGCCAAUGUGGUCUUUUGUUGUUAUGCGGUAUUAGCAUUCUGUUUUCCAAAAUUGUUAACUCCCCCGCUCCGAGGGCACGGUUACCUACGUGUUACUCACCCCGUCCGCCACUCACUGGUGACUCCAACGUCAAUACAGGUGACAAGCCACCAUACUAAUUAGUUGGCCAGUGUACCGG
rnacentral:rRNA from 1 species